rnacentral:misc_RNA from 1 species
AUGUUAGUCAAGCCAUAGAGCCAAUU